UACGUAGGUGGCAAGCGUUGUCCGGACUUAUUGGGUUUAAAGGGUGCGUAGGCGGCUUUGUAAGUCAGUGGUGAAAUAUGGCAGCUCAACUGUCAGGGUGCCAUUGAUACUGCGGAGCUUGAGUACAGAUGAGGUAGGCGGAAUUGACGGUGUAGCGGUGAAAUGCUUAGAUAUCGUCAAGAACACCGAUAGCGAAGGCAGCUUACUAGGCUGUAACUGACGCUGAGGCACGAAAAGUGUGGGGGAUCAAAACAGG
rnacentral:rRNA from 1 species